AUUGAACGCUGGCGGCGGGCUUAACACAUGCAAGUCGAGCGGAGUGAUGGUGCUUGCACUAUCACUUAGCGGCGGACGGGUGAGUAAUGCUUAGGAAUCUGCCAUUUAGUGGGGGACAACAUUCCGAAAGGAAUGCUAAUACCGCAUACGUCCUACGGGAGAAAGCAGGGGAUCUUCGGACCUUGCGCUAAAUGAUGAGCCUAAGUCGGAUUAGCUAGUUGGGGGGGUAAAGGCCUACCAAGGCGACGAUCUGUAGCGGGUCUGAGAGGAUGAUCCGCCACACUGGGACUGAGACACGGCCCAGACUCCUACGGGAGGCAGCAGUGGGGAAUAUUGGACAAUGGGCGGAAGCCUGAUCCAGCCAUGCCGCGUGUGUGAAGAAGGCCUUUUGGUUGUAAAGCACUUUAAGCGAGGAGGAGGCUACUAGUACUAAUACUACUGGAUAGUGGACGUUACUCGCAGAACAAGCACCGGCUAACUCUGUGCCAGCCGCCGCAGUAAUAC
rnacentral:rRNA from 1 species